UUACGGGCACACUUUCCUAAUUUGACCUAUCCGUGACAGUCUUUCAAAAUUGAAAUGAAUGUGCCUCGUUCCGUUUGAAAUUACCCCAAAUUAAAGAUUAUGGAUAGCUGGUGAAUGCUUGUGAAGUGCAGAGAUUCAGGCCCCGUUUAUCUUGAAAGUCCUCUCUGGGGAAGGCAAGACGUCAUCUUGCAGCCAAGUCUCUGACCGUGCAAGUUGGUGAAAGGUCCUUUGUCUGAGCUUCGGAUGAUGAACAUGAGAAAAUGCCCUUGACAUUUUGCGACCCUGCGAGAGAACUUGCAGUUAAGCGAAGGAGAGACUGGAUGAACACGUCUCUUACUCUUCUCCAUCAGUUGCAGCAGCAGGAACUUCCCUCAACUCCUCACUCAUCUAGCUUCAUGCUCUUACUCUCUUUUACAAGGCAAACAAGCACAAAAAACCCUCGCGUCUGGCCAGCUACUCCCGGAUAUGAGACCUGCCCCGGAGUGUGGUGGCGAGGUGUUGCUUUCGACUUGCUUUUUGUGUUCUUCCAUGAGCUGGUCAAACAAAUUCAUCACUGUCUGAUGUUUGAGAGAGUAGGCUGCUUCAGACCAACUCUUGACUAAGAUUUUUGGUAAAGGAUGGGAAAACAACUCUCAGGAUUUGGUCUGUGUGUCCAUCAUGGCUACUUGGGUCUGUCUUGGAGGUGUAGAGAUACUCAUGGGCAGCCGUGAGGUGAAAAGACAACUGUAACUCACCAGAACCUCCUCUGUGGAUGCUGAGACGCCUGUGAUUUCACCAGAACCUCAUCUGUGGAUGCUGAGAUGCCUGUGGUUUCACCAGAAUCUCAUCUGUGGAUGCUGAGAUGCCUAUGGUUUCACCAGAACCUCAGCUGUGGAUGCAGAGAUGCCUGUGGUUUCACCAGAACCUCAUCUGUGGGUGCUGGGACGCCUGUGGUUUCACCAGAAUCUCAUCUGUGGGUGCUGGGACACCUGUGGUUUCACCAGAAUCUCAUCUGUGGAUGCAGAGACACCUAUGGUGUAUGGGGUCACAACAUCAAUCUUCCUGUUUUAAUUUCUGCCCCAAUCAUUUGAAACAGUAAAACUCAAUUUAGAAAUGA